rnacentral:rRNA from 1 species
UACCUGAACUCAUCUGAAUUCAAGAGUA